rnacentral:snRNA from 1 species
UCCUGUUAAAAUAUUGACGGUUA